rnacentral:lncRNA from 1 species
UCGGCACCGCGCAGGGAAUCCCAGCAGCGGGGUUCUGGCCCCAGCACGCGUUGCGGCAGCCUGGCGAGCGUCCUUGCGGCCUCCAAGUGCCGGUGGGGUGCGUGCGCAGGGGGCAGAAAAAUCAUGUCUUCUUCCAGAGUGGGGCUCCGUUUGGCUGCCUGUUUACUAAACGUUUCAGAAGCCGGAAGAAAAUACAUUGUUGAGAACAUAGCAAAAGCAGCUCUUCUUGACAAAAAUGGAAAGAAACAUCCUCAAGUUUCAGUGCUCA